GCCUAUACAUGCAAGUCGAGCGGACAGAUGGGAGCUUGCUCCCUGAUGUUAGCGGCGGACGGGUGAGUAACACGUGGGUAACCUGCCUGUAAGACUGGGAUAACUCCGGGAAACCGGGGCUAAUACCGGAUGGUUGUUUGAACCGCAUGGUUCAAACAUAAAAGGUGGCUUCGGCUACCACUUACAGAUGGACCCGCGGCGCAUUAGCUAGUUGGUGAGGUAACGGCUCACCAAGGCAACGAUGCGUAGCCGACCUGAGAGGGUGAUCGGCCACACUGGGACUGAGACACGGCCCAGACUCCUACGGGAGGCAGCAGUAGGGAAUCUUCCGCAAUGGACGAAAGUCUGACGGAGCAACGCCGCGUGAGUGAUGAAGGUUUUCGGAUCGUAAAGCUCUGUUGUUAGGGAAGAACAAGUACCGUUCGAAUAGGGCGGUACCUUGACGGUACCUAACCAGAAAGCCACGGCUAACUACGUGCCAGCAGCGGCCGGUAAUAA
rnacentral:rRNA from 1 species